GGAAAAGAAAGCGUCAUCCAAAAUCUGUUCAGUACCCUGUGUGUGUUUUAUGUAUUUAUGUAUGUAUUUAUUUUUUUUAACACAGCAAUGUUCCCAGCUGUGAAAGCCCAACUCCUCCAGCAUCAGCAUUACCUCCAUCUAUCCAACAUUUGAGCGGAGAUCUUUAUCUCGGUCAAGGUCAUGGUAGAUCUGAAGAACGUUUGGUGUGAGACCACCAGGCAGUUUCCUUCAAAAUUACUGGAAUUUUACCGGUAUUGCUCAAUACCUUGACGAGUACCAGCGGUGAAGCGUUUGAUCAUCUUGUGACCGUGACCCUAUAUACAUAGGCAGCCUACAAAAGGUACGUUGCUAUGCCACACCAAUCCAAUUUUCCAAUGUCUAAUUAUUGUCAAUUGAGGAAGUUAGUUCAAGACACUCGGUAUAGCAUUAUAAUUCACUGUUUUUCACACCAAACAAAGGGGCGUGUUCUUGCAUUUGACUUAUUACUUAUUUCUGACUAUGAAUGGCAUUAUCAGUGCAGGAUGGCAUGGCAUUUAUUCUGGCAGAACCAGAUGCAGUUGGAUGAUCAAAG
ensembl:lncRNA